UCACAAGCUGCGGGAUCAGAAUGAUG
rnacentral:piRNA from 1 species